rnacentral:lncRNA from 1 species
CAGUGCAGAAACGGAAGUUAAGGACGGAACUGACCGGUCUCACUAAUAAGAGACAAGAAGAAUUUUAGCGACAAACAGCGACAAGAAGAAUAAUUUAGUGACGAAGCGACAAUAACAAACAAGGGACAAGAGAAUCGCUAUUCUCUCACGAGGCUAUUCUCAUUUGGUGUGAUAGUGUGAAGCCACACCUUUUAGAUAUGUCCCUAUGAAGAACGACGAAUUUCAUUGUUUAAUAGAAAGG